UCUGCGAUAAGCGCCGGUAAGGUGAUAUGAACCGUUAUAACCGGCGAUACCCGAAUGGGGAAACCCAGUGUGAUUCGUCACACUAUCAUUAACUGAAUCCAUAGGUUAAUGAGGCGAACCGGGGGAACUGAAACAUCUAAGUACCCCGAGGAAAAGAAAUCAACCGAGAUUCCCCCAGUAGCGGCGAGCGAACGGGGAGGAGCCCAGAGCCUGAAUCAGCAUGUGUGUUAGUGGAAGCGUCUGGAAAGGCGCGCGAUACAGGGUGACAGCCCCGUACACAAAAGCGCAUGUGCUGUGAGCUCGAUGAGUAGGGCGGGACACGUGGUAUCCUGUCUGAAUAUGGGGGGACCAUCCUCCAAGGCUAAAUACUCCUGACUGACCGAUAGUGAACCAGUACCGUGAGGGAAAGGCGAAAAGAACCCCGGCGAGGGGAGUGAAAAAGAACCUGAAACCGUGUACGUACAAGCAGUGGGAGCNNNNNNNNNNNNNNNNNNNNNNNNNNNNNNNNNNNNNNNNNNNNNNNNNNNNNNNNNNNNNNNNNGGGCGUUAAGUUGCAGGGUAUAGACCCGAAACCCGGUGAUCUAGCCAUGGGCAGGUUGAAGGUUGGGUAACACUAACUGGAGGACCGAACCGACUAAUGUUGAAAAAUUAGCGGAUGACCUGUGGCUGGGGGUGAAAGGCCAAUCAAACCGGGAGAUAGCUGGUUCUCCCCGAAAGCUAUUUAGGUAGCGCCUCGUGAAUUCAUCUCCGGGGGUAGAGCACUGUUUCGGCUAGGGGGCCAUCCCGGCUUACCAACCCGAUGCAAACUGCGAAUACCGGAGAAUGUUAUCACGGGAGACACACGGCGGGUGCUAACGUCCGUCGUGAAGAGGGAAACAACCCAGACCGCCAGCUAAGGUCCCAAAGUCAUGGUUAAGUGGGAAACGAUGUGGGAAGGCCCAGACAGCCAGGAUGUUGGCUUAGAAGCAGCCAUCAUUUAAAGAAAGCGUAAUAGCUCACUGGUCGAGUCGGCCUGCGCGGAAGAUGUAACGGGGCUAAACCAUGCACCGAAGCUGCGGCAGCGNNUGCUGGAGGUAUCAGAAGUGCGAAUGCUGACAUAAGUAACGAUAAAGCGGGUGAAAAGCCCGCUCGCCGGAAGACCAAGGGUUCCUGUCCAACGUUAAUCGGGGCAGGGUGAGUCGACCCCUAAGGCGAGGCCGAAAGGCGUAGUCGAUGGGAAACGGGUUAAUAUUCCCGUACUUGGUGUUACUGCGAAGGGGGGACGGAGAAGGCUAUGUUGGCCGGGCGACGGUUGUCCCGGUUUAAGCGUGUAGGUGUGUGUUCCAGGUAAAUCCGGUUCACUUUAACACUGAGGCGUGACGACGAGGCACUACGGUGCUGAAGCAACAAAUGCCCUGCUUCCAGGAAAAGCCUCUAAGCAUCAGGUAACAUCAAAUCGUACCCCAAACCGACACAGGUGGUCAGGUAGAGAAUACCAAGGCGCUUGAGAGAACUCGGGUGAAGGAACUAGGCAAAAUGGUGCCGUAACUUCGGGAGAAGGCACGCUGACACGUAGGUGAAGUGAUUUACUCAUGGAGCUGAAGUCAGUCGAAGAUACCAGCUGGCUGCAACUGUUUAUUAAAAACACAGCACUGUGCAAACACGAAAGUGGACGUAUACGGUGUGACGCCUGCCCGGUGCCGGAAGGUUAAUUGAUGGGGUCAGCGCAAGCGAAGCUCCUGAUCGAAGCCCCGGUAAACGGCGGCCGUAACUAUAACGGUCCUAAGGUAGCGAAAUUCCUUGUCGGGUAAGUUCCGACCUGCACGAAUGGCGUAAUGAUGGCCAGGCUGUCUCCACCCGAGACUCAGUGAAAUUGAACUCGCUGUGAAGAUGCAGUGUACCCGCGGCAAGACGGAAAGACCCCGUGAACCUUUACUAUAGCUUGACACUGAACAUUGAGCCUUGAUGUGUAGGAUAGGUGGGAGGCUUUGAAGNNNNNNNNNNNNNNNNNNNNNNNNNNNNNNNNNNNNNNNNNNNNNNNNNNGGUUGCGGACAGUGUCUGGUGGGUAGUUUGACUGGGGCGGUCUCCUCCUAAAGAGUAACGGAGGAGCACGAAGGUUGGCUAAUCCUGGUCGGACAUCAGGAGGUUAGUGCAAUGGCAUAAGCCAGCUUGACUGCGAGCGUGACGGCGCGAGCAGGUGCGAAAGCAGGUCAUAGUGAUCCGGUGGUUCUGAAUGGAAGGGCCAUCGCUCAACGGAUAAAAGGUACUCCGGGGAUAACAGGCUGAUACCGCCCAAGAGUUCAUAUCGACGGCGGUGUUUGGCACCUCGAUGUCGGCUCAUCACAUCCUGGGGCUGAAGUAGGUCCCAAGGGUAUGGCUGUUCGCCAUUUAAAGUGGUACGCGAGCUGGGUUUAGAACGUCGUGAGACAGUUCGGUCCCUAUCUGCCGUGGGCGCUGGAGAACUGAGGGGGGCUGCUCCUAGUACGAGAGGACCGGAGUGGACGCAUCACUGGUGUUCGGGUUGUCAUGCCAAUGGCACUGCCCGGUAGCUAAAUGCGGAAGAGAUAAGUGCUGAAAGCAUCUAAGCACGAAACUUGCCCCGAGAUGAGUUCUCCCUGAGACUUAGAGUCUCCUGAAGGAACGUUGAAGACGACGACGUUGAUAGGCCGGGUGUGUAAGCGCAGCGAUGCGUUGAGCUAACCGGUACUAAUGAACCGUGAGGCUUAACCUUACAACGCCGAAG
rnacentral:rRNA from 1 species